UGACCGCUGGCGGCGUGCCUACCACAUGCACGUCGCACGGAGUCCAGCCUUUAAGACCUUCGGGUCAAAGAGGGGAAGACUGAGUGGCGGACGGGUGAGUAACACGUGGGCAACCUGGCUCAUAGAGGGGGAUAACAGAGAGAAAUUUCUGCUAAUACCGCAUAAGCACACACUGCCGCAUGGCAGAGGGUGAAAAGAGAAUCGCUAUGAGAUGGACCCGCGUCUGAUUAGCCAGUUGGCAGGGUAAGAGCCUACCAAAGCGACGAUCAGUAGCCGAUCUGAGAGGAUGAACGGCCACAUUGGGACUGAGACACGGCCCAAACUCCUACGGGAGGCAGCAGUGGGGGAUAUUGCACAGUGGGGGGAACCCUGAUGCAGCGACGCCGCGUGAGUGAAGAAGUAUUUCGGUAUGUAAAGCUCUAUCAGCAGGGAAGAUAAUGACAGUACCUGAAGAAGAAGCCCCGGCUAACUACGUG
rnacentral:rRNA from 1 species